rnacentral:rRNA from 1 species
GACGAACGCUGGCGGCGUGCCUAACACAUGCAAGUCGCACGGGCAGGGGAAACCCUGUCAGUGGCGGACGGGUGAGUAACGCGUAGGUAUCUAUCUCUGGGUGGGGGACAACCGUGGGAAACUACGGCUAAUACCGCAUGACACCUGAGGGUCAAAGGCGCAAGUCGCCUGGAGAGGAGCCUGCGUACGAUUAGCUAGUUGGUGGGGUAAAGGCCUACCAAGGCGACGAUCGUUAGCUGGUCUGAGAGGAUGAUCAGCCACACUGGGACUGAGACACGGCCCAGACUCCUACGGGAGGCAGCAGUGGGGAAUAUUGGACAAUGGGCGCAAGCCUGAUCCAGCAAUGCCGCGUGAGUGAAGAAGGCCUUCGGUUGUAAAGCUCUGUCUGGAGGGACGAAGGAAGUGACGGUACCUCCGGAGGAAGCCACGGCUAACUACGUGCCAGCAGCCGCGGUAAGAUCACGUGUA